AAUGAACGUUGGCGGCGUGGAUUAGGCAUGCAAGUCGAGCGAGAACCCGCAAGGGGGACAGCGGCGAACGGGGUAGGAAUACGUAGGUAACGUACCCUCGGGGCGAGGACAGCCACGGGAAACUGUGGGUAAUACUCGAUAAACUUCCCAAUCAUUAUGGAAGGGGAAGCAAUGGGUGUGAUUCCACCUGAGGAGCGGCUUACGCAGUAUCAGCUAGUUGGUGAGGUAACGGCUCACCAAGGCUACGACGCUUAGGGGGGUGUGAGAGCAUGGCCCCCACCACUGGCACUGAGACACUGGCCAGACACCUACGGGUGGCUGCAGUCGAGAAUCUUCGGCAAUGGACGCAAGUCUGACCGAGCGACGCCGCGUGUGGGAUGAAGGCCUUGGGUUGUAACCACUGUCAGAGGGGAGUGAAGUGUACGAGAGUUAUCUCUUGUAUUUGACAGAGCCUCAGAGGAAGCACGGGCUAAGUUCGUG
rnacentral:rRNA from 1 species